GUUUUUACCCGAUGAGAAAUGCAUCGAGAUUUCGAGAAAAUCCCAGGAAUAGAACAUUGGGUGGUUCUUUUAUUCGCAUAAAAUUUCUGGCAAAAACUGUAUAUUGUCACAGUGAGAUGCUUUUAACAAAUCGUCCGUGAAAUGUUGCAUUUUUGGAUUCGCGGCAUUAAUCUUCAACUACAAACUUGCGUGCACGAGGAAAAAUUAGGAAAAUUCCGACUUCCUUGCAUGAAAUAAAUGCACGAUCGUUUUAAAUUCGUUGGAAACGGGUCAAGAUCGAGCUAGUAUGCAUGAAUCGAGCAACUAAACAACUGAACAACUGUUUACCUCGAUUUGCAAAUAAUUGAGAAAUAGAAUUUAUAAUAGGAAAAAUUCCUUUUCGAGGAAAAUUUUCACUGCAACAUCGAAUCGUUUAAAUCAUCGUUGACAUCGGACAUUUGGAAAAAGUUAAGCAAAAACGGUGUGUAACACGAUUUGAACAAUGAAACGCCAAGCAAGGACGCGAGAUUUCCAUACAUUUUAAAUAAUUCCCACAUCUCGGCUUUUGCAGCAAGGUGAUUUUACAUUCAAAUCUUCAAGCCACACGCAAACCGCGAAAAAAUAUUUUACCGAGAUUCCAGGCUGAAGCUGGAGAUUCGUCCAAUUUCUAGCUCGUGUCUCGCGUUGUUUUCCUGGGCGACAUUAAAAAAAUAUUUCGUCGUGCGACGACGAAAGACGGGGACAAUUUGUUUGGAUCUACUCCCACAGCAUUCUGAAUCAAGAUAUUCCACGAACCUCGUUCCAGUUUUUCUUCUUCUUUUCCUUGAAAUCGGCCAUCCUUUCUUCGUUUCACCUUUUGUUUCAUAUCUCAGAAAUCUAGUGCAUUUUUAGAGUAACAUAAGAACGCAAAUAAUUGCCAUUUAUGAAUCCUAAUCAAUUAAAAUUCUCUGAAGUUGAAAUGAAAAAUAUUAACUCCUUAAAUAUUUAAUAAAAUGAAAGAAGAAUCGUGCAAGAGGAUGUGUUCUUAAUCAAUUUUGUGAUUCAUUGAAAGAAAGAAACAAUAUAUAUGAAGGUAAG